UACUUUUAAUAUCUUUUAUAUUGCAAUUUUAUCAACCCGGAGAAGUCUUACUUUUACCAUUUUUAUACUGCAUUUUAUCAACUGUUUAUGAUUUGGCACCUUGGCUCUUUUAUAGACGAAAACUUAAUUUCGGAUAUUAUAAUUUUGGAUUUAACAUGACUAUUGGAAAGGACCUGUAAUCUUACCAGCAAUUGGAAGUGUGGAACUCUUUUCGUACAUUGAACUUCUUUUUAAAACUCCUUUGGAAACACUUGGACAAGAAAGAACAAUUUCACGAUCAAGAAUUUGCGCAACCUAGAUUAUAUUCAUAUUGUGAAAUCAAAUCUCACCAAUUCAUUUUUUAUUUUCAAAUAAAUACUUAAUAUAUAUAUUUUAA
rnacentral:lncRNA from 1 species